CCAACAUGUCUCUUCUUCAACCCAACAAACUACAUCGCCCUUACAUCAUGACAUUCCCCCCACGUGCACAUCCAAAUUUGGGGCUCAACCAUCUUCAUCCGUCCAACAAACAUACCAUCACACCUAGACCACACAACAACGCACCUUUUAUGUCACCUCAUCCCAACACCAAAAUCCUCACAUUCCAUUCCCUCAAACAAACUACUUUUACAACCAACAAUAUCAACAACAAACCAAUCUACGCCCAUCCCAUACAAUACACUCCAAUUCCU
rnacentral:lncRNA from 1 species